rnacentral:rRNA from 1 species
UACGUAGGGUGCGAGCGUUGUCCGGAAUUACUGGGCGUAAAGAGCUCGUAGGUGGUUUGUCGCGUUGUCCGUGAAAACUCACAACUCAAUUGUGGGCGUGCGGGCGAUACGGGCAGACUGGAGUACUGCAGGGGGAGACUGGAAUUCCUGGUGUAGCGGUGGAAUGCGCAGAUAUCAGGAGGAACACCGGUGGCGAAGGCGGGUCUCUGGGCAGUAACUGACGCUGAGGAGCGAAAGCGUGGGGAGCGAACAGG